GGAUUAACCCAGUAUGAAAAUCACCAGCUUGCUGGUGAAUUGUAGUCUGCAGUGGCAACUCCUGGGUGGCGUGCGGCCAAAGCAUCUUGGAACAGAUCGCCUUAGAGGGUGAGAGUCCCGUAGGCCAAGCAAAGCCCUUCACGGAGUGCUCACGGAGAGUCGGGUUGUUUGGGAAUGCAGCCCCAAUUGGGUGGUAAACCCCAUCUAAGGCUAAAUACCGGUGG
rnacentral:rRNA from 1 species